rnacentral:rRNA from 1 species
UAAUUUGAAGAAGGUAUCUUUGGGCCCGGCUCUUGUCUAUGUUCCUUGGAACAGGACGUCACAGAGGGUGAGAAUCCCGUGCGAUGAGAUGACCCGGGUCUGUGUAAAGUUCCUUCGACGAGUCGAGUUGUUUGGGAAUGCAGCUCUAAGUGGGUGGUAAAUUCCAUCUAAAGCUAAAUAUUGGCGAGAGACCGAUAGCGAACAAGUACAGUGAUGGAAAGAUGAAAAGAACUUUGAAAAGAGAGUGAAAAAGUACGUGAAAUUGUUGAAAGGGAAGGGCUUGAGAUCAGACUUGGUAUUUUGCAUGCUGCUCUCUCGGGGGCGGCCGCUGCGGUUUACCGGGCCAGCAUCGGUUUGGAGCGGCAGGAUAAUGGCGGAGGAAUGUGGCACGGCUUCUGCUGUGUGUUAUAGCCUCUGACGAUACUGCCAGCCUAGACCGAGGACUGCGGUUUU